ensembl:lncRNA
GUGACUGAUGACACAUCCCUGGGGGCCCCAGUGUUAAGAGUCAGGUAGUAAAGCAGGUGACUGAGGACACAUCCCUGGGGGCCCCAGUGUUAAAAGUCAGGUAGUAAAGCAGGUGACUGAGGACACAUCCCGGGGGGCCCCAGUGUUAAAAGUCAGGUAGUAAAGCAGGUGACUGAGGACACACCCCUGGGGGCCCCAGUGUUAAAAGUCAGGUAGUAAAGCAGGUGACUGAGGACACAUCCCUGGGGGCCCCAGUGUUAAAAGUCAGGUAGUAAAGCAGGUGACUGAUGACACAUCCCUGGGGGGGCCCCAGUGUUAAGGGUCAGCUUUGAACUUGACGACAUGUUUUGAAUUAUUGCAAAAAUCUAUGUUGAUCCCAUCAUAACCUUCUUAGCUGUGUUUAUUAUUGCUUAUCUAGCUCACACACAAGCAUGUGUUCCCUUUGUAAGGUACUUCAGCGAUUGCUCCCAGUAAAUUGCUUCAACCAUGUGUUCCCGUUGUAAAGUGCUUAAGCAUGUUCUUCCAUUGUAAAGUAUGUCAGCCAUGUGUUCCUGUUGUAAAGUACUUCAAGCUUGUGUUCCUGUUGUAAAGUACGUUAGCACAUGUUCCAGUUGUAAAGUAUUUCAGCCACGUGUUCCAGAUGUAAAGUACUUCAGCCGCAUGUUCCUAUUGUAAAGUUUUUCAGCCACGGGUUGCUGUUGUAAAGUACUUCCGAAAAUGUUCCAGCUGUAAUGUACUUCAGCCAUGUGCUUCCACUGUUAAGAACCUCAGCUAUGUGUUCCCAGUGUAAAGUACUUCAACCAUGUGUUCCUGUUGUAAAUUACUUAAGUGAUGUAUUCCGGUAGCAAAGCGUAUCACUGUUUCCAAAAAAGUUGGGACGCUGUGUAAAAUGCAAAUUGAAAAGAAAUACAAAGACAACAUAUCAAAUGUUGCACCAGAGAAAUUUUACUGUUUUUGGAAAAAUAUGUGCCCAUUUUGAAUUUGAUGCCAGAAACGCCUUUCAAAAAAGGUGGGACAGGUGCAUGUUUAUUACUGUGUUGCAUCUCCUCUUCUUUUAAGAACACAAUGUAAGCGUUUGGGAAAUGAGGAGACAAAUUGCUGUAGUUUUAAAAGUGCCAAAUGUUUUCAGUGUAGGUCUGAACUUCAGGCAAGCCAGUUUAGCACCCGGACUAUAUGUACAGAAUGUGGUUUGGCAUUGUCUUGCUGAAAUAAGCAAGGUCUUCCCUAAAAAAGAUGUUGUCUGGAUGGCAGCAUAUGUUGCUCCAAAACCUUUAUACAGUGAGGGAAAAAAAUAUUUGAGCCCCUGCUGAUUUUGUACGUUUUGCCCACUGACAAAGAAAUUAUCAGUCUAUUAUUUUAAUGGAACUAGACAGAAUAACAACAAAAUUAUUAAACAUUUAUUUGCAUUUUAAUGAGUGAAAUAAGUAUUCGACCCCUCUGCAAAACAUGACUUAGUACUUGGUGGCAAAACCCUUGUUGGCAAUCACAGAGGUCAGACGUUUCUUGUAGUUGGCCACCAGAUUUGCACACAUCUCAGGAGGGAUUUUGUCCCACUCUUUGCAGAUCUUCUACAAGUCAUUAAGGUUUUGAAGCUGACGUUUGGCAACUCGAACCUUCAGCUCCCUCCACAGAUGUUCUAUGGGAUUAAGGUCUGGAGACUGGCUAGGCCACUCCAGGACCUUAAUGUGCUUCUUCUUGAGCCACUCUUUUGUUGCCUUGGCUGUGUGUUUUGGAUCAUUGUCAUCCUGGAAUACCCAUCUACGACCCAUUUUCAAUGCCCUGGCUGAGGGAAGGAGGUUCUCACCCAAGAUUUGACGGUACAUGGCCCCGUCCAUUGUCCCUUUGAUACGGUGAAUUUGUCCAUUCCCACCAUAAAGCAUGGAUGUGGAAACAUGGAUGUUUUUCUGCUAAGGGGACCGAAAAAAACACAAAAGAACUGUCAAUCUCCUUCGUUCUGGGGCUCCAUGCAAGAUCUCACCUCGUGGAGUUGCAAUGAUCAUGAGAAUGGUGAGGAAUCAGCCCAGAACUACACAGGAGGAUCUUGUCAAUGAUCAAGGCAACUGGGACCAUAGUCACCAAGAAAAGAAUUGGUAACACUACGCCGUGAAGGACUAAAAUCCUGCAGGGCCUGCAAGGUCCCCCUGCUCAAGAAAGCACAUGUACAGGCCCGUCUGAAGUUUGCCAAUGAACAUCUGAAUGAUUCAGAGGAAAACUUGGUUAAAGUGUUGUGGUCAGAUGAGACCAAAAUCAAGCUCUUUGGCAUCAACUUAACUCGCUGUGUUUGGAGGAGGAGGAAUGCUGCCUAUGACCCCAAGAACACAAUUUGCGAACAAUCGCACCAAUUGAUGUCACCUUCUAACCAAGGUGCUUGGCGAUGGUCUUUUAGUCCAUUCCAGCCCUGUGUAGGUCUACAAUCUUGUCCCUGACAUCCUUGGACAGCUCUUUGGUCUUGGCCAUGGUGGAGAGUUUGGAAUCUGAUUGAUUGAUUGCUUCUGUGGACAGGUGUCUUUUAUACAGAUAACAAGCUGAAAUUAGGAGCACUCCCUUUAAGAGUGUGCUCCUAAUCUCAGCUUGUUACCUGUAUAAAAGACACCUGGGAGCCAGAAAUCUUUCUGAUUGAGAGGGGAUCAAAUACUUGAUGCAAAUCAAUUUAUAAAGUUUUUGACAUGCAUUUAUCUGGAUUUUUUUGUUGUUAUUCCGUCUCUCACUGUUCAAAUAAACCUACCAUUAAAAUUAUAGACUGAUAAUUUCUUUGUCAGUGGGCAAAUGUACAAAAUCAACAGGGGAUUUAAAAAAAAAAUCCCUCACUGUAUAUUGUUCAGCGUUAAUGAGGCCUUCACAGAUGUUCAAGUCACCCAUGCCACAUGUAUUAAUACCAUUACAGACCCUGGAUUUUGAACUGUCCGGAGGAUGUGGCGUCCAUGUUUCCCAGAAAAUUAUAUUAGUCAGACCACAGGACAGUUUUCCACUUCGACUCAGUCCAUCUUAAAUGACCUCAGGCCCAGAGAAGCCGCUGGUGUUUCUGGAUGUUGUUUAUGUAUGGUUUUGUCUUUGAAGAGUAGAGUUUUUACUUGAAUUUGUGGAUGCUGCGAUAUAGUGUGUUCACAGACAAUGGUUUUUGGAAGUGUUCCUGAGUACACAGUCUUUCACUGAGUGGGGAACCCCUCCCCAUCCUCCCUUCUCACAGGUCCGUCCUCUCUGGAAUUAUCUUUUAAUACCCAACCAUGUUACUGACCUGUUGCCAAUUAACCUAAUUAGUUGUGUGACGUUCCACCGGGUUUAGUUUGUUUAGCAUUACACAACGUUUUCAGUCUUUUGGUGUCUCUGUCCCGCAUUUUUUAAAUGUGUUGCUGGCAUCAAAUUCAAAUUGGGCAUAUACUUUUCAAGAAACAAGAACAUUUCUCAGAUUCAACAUUUGAAAUUAGAAUUGAUUCACCUUUAUUGUCAAUGAACAGUACAAGUACAGUACAACAAAAUGCAUUUUGGGUCUAAUCAGAUGUACGAAAUGUUGUCUUAUUGUCUGCUGAAAAUAGGGAUGAAAUGAUUUGUAAAUCAUUGCAUUCUGUUUUUGAUUACAUUUUACACAGCUAUCCAAUGUGUUUGGAAACAGGGUUGUAAUAAAACAAAAAAUAUAUAUUUUUUGUUAGGCCCAGCCUUGCUUCAAAUAAUUGUCCUGACAAUAUAUAACACAUAGCAAUUGCUGCACAGUGGAAGAGUAAUUUAAUCAUUGCUCAGCAAAAUAUUAUCUGCCCUAGUUGGCAUUCUUCUGCGUAUAUCUAGUUAAAUACAAAAAAUACUAUUUCAAUAACCACAAAGUUUUUUCUUGCAACAUUUACAAAUGUCAGUUUGGACCAGUUUAAAAGGAAAUUGAAAGCAGAGAAGUGUCAACAUGUUUCUGAAAUAUUUACGUUUUUGAUACAUUAUUUUAGUGAAUUGUGUAACAAUGCCUGUUAUAACUUUCUCUUUUGCUUUUAUUUCUCUGACAUUUGUAGCAAUUCAUCUCCUCAGGCUCCCGGUGCAGCAUUCCAAGCACCAUGUGGCCAUGACAGUAUACUUGUCAUGGUGUUAGUGGAGUCCGGAAUUAUGAUUGAUGACAAUAGUUUGCACUAGGAAUGGCUGGAAUAUCCAGAUAUUAUAUAGAGGGAUAUCUGAAGGACUUAGCUUUGUUUUAUUAAAAUAAAAAGUUGAAUUCCAAUUUUAAUGAAGGCUCAAAUUGUUGUCCAUCACUAAUGUGUGAGUGUGUGAGUGUGUGUGUAUGUCUGAAUUUGGGCGUGCGCCCGAGUGUGUCAUCUUAGUAUGGUAACUUUGCUGAACCUAAAACUAUUGUGAUGUAAUGUUUUUACAGUUUGUCAUUCAUUUUUGUGACAGUAGAAAUGGUUACUAAGAAUUAUGUGAAAUAUGAUUGUAAACCAUCCAAUAAGACAACGCUAACGACUAUUUUAAAUGUGUAGUAAGUAAAACUGUGUAUUCUCCAGUGUUUAUAUUCAGAGAAGUUGAGAAGUUGUUGCUUCAGAACUGGAAUUUGUUUAAUUGAUUGAUAUGAUUCUCUAUUGUCUUGCUGAUUUUGUUUGGUGCAUUUUGCAGUAAUGUUAUUUCUGUAUGCUGGCCUUCAAGUUCAUUUCCAUGUACAUAUAGAACAGCACACAUAGUUUGUUCCAUUGGCAGAAAACUGCAUUUUCCAUGACAGUUUCACAUUGUUUACUACUCAAACCAUUAAAAUAAAAUAUUUAGAGAAG